rnacentral:lncRNA from 1 species
ACUCAAGGUAAUUAUAAUGACAUUUUUGACGUCAUAAAGUCUAACACACUCUUAAGGAUACAUGUGUGACCAGUGGGAGAUUGUAAGAUUUAUGGGUCACAUAUGUAAUUAAUUAAUAAAGUGUGUUAGGGUCAUUAUAUAAUUAGCCAAUAAACUAGGGGUCAAAUAAUAUAUAAUAGUUUAUGGCUAAAGAGCGUAAUAGUUAUGAAAAUUAAUAGUGUAGAUACCAAGCAGUUUCUAAUUUAAUGAGGGGCUGAAUUGGAAAUACUGCAAUUUGGGAUAUAACUAAUAAUAGUUAUAUAUAGGGGUAAUGGUCCCCAAGGCAAACACAACAAGACUAUUCAGUUUCAAAACCCUAAAGGAGAAAACUCUCUGGUUCUCUCUAUCCCCAUCAAGAGAGCAAGGUCUUCAGGGUGUUUUGCUGAGGAAGAUCACCCAACCCAUUGGCUCUAUCAUCACCAUCCCAG